rnacentral:rRNA from 1 species
UACGUAGGGGGCAAGCGUUGUCCGGAUUUAUUGGGCGUAAAGAGCGUGUAGGCGGCCAUACAGGUCCGUUGUGAAAACUCGAGGCUUAACCUCGAGACGUCGAUGGAAACCGUAUGGCUAGAGUCCGGAAGAGGAGAGUGGAAGUUCCUGGUGUAGCGGUGAAAUGCGCAGAUAUCAGGAAGAACACCCGUGGCGAAGGCGGCUCUCUGGGACGGUACUGACGCUGAGACGCGAAAGCGUGGGGAGCGAACAGG